CCUACGGGUGGCAGCAGUGAGGAAUAUUGGUCAAUGGCCGAGAGGCUGAACCAGCCAAGUCGCGUGAGGGAAGACGGCCCUACGGGUUGUAAACCUCUUUUGUCGGGGAGCAAAGAGAGUCACGUGUGACUCAUUGAGAGUCCCCGAAGAAACAGCAUCGGCUAACUCCGUGCCAGCAGCCGCGGUAAUACGGAGGAUGCGAUCGUUAUCCGGAUUUAUUGGGUUGAACGGGUGCGCAGGCGGAGGUGCAAGUCAGCGGUCAAAUUGCGGGGCUCAACCCCGUACUGCCGUUGAAACUGCAGCCCUUGAGUGCGCGAGAAGUAUGCGGAAUGCGUGGUGUAGCGGUGAAAUGCAUAGAUAUCACGCAGAACUCCGAUUGCGAAGGCAGCAUACCGGCGCGCAACUGACGCUCAUGCACGAAAGCGUGGGUAUCGAACAGGAUUAGAUACCCUGGUAGUC
rnacentral:rRNA from 1 species